rnacentral:rRNA from 1 species
CCAGACUCCUACGGGAGGCAGCAGUGGGGGAUAUUGCACAAUGGGGGAAACCCUGAUGCAGCAACGCCGCGUGAGUGAAGAAGGUCUUCGGAUUGUAAAGCUCUGUUCUUGGUGAAGAUAAUGACGGUAGCCAAGGAGAAAGCUCCGGCUAACUACGUGCCAGCAGCCGCGGUAAUACGUAGGGAGCAAGCGUUGUCCGGAAUUACUGGGUGUAAAGGGAGCGUAGGCGGGGAUGCAAGUUGGGUGUCAAAACUACCGGCUCAACCGAUAGUCGCACUCAAAACUGCAGCUCUUGAGUGAAGUAGAGGCAGGCGGAAUUCCUAGUGUAGCGGUGAAAUGCGUAGAUAUUAGGAGGAACACCAGUGGCGAAGGCGGCCUGCUGGACGAUGACUGACGUUGAGGCUCGAAAGCGUGGGGAGCAAACAGGAUUAGAUACCCGGGUA